GACGAACGCUGGCGGCGUGCCUAAUACAUGCAAGUUGAGCGCUGAAGGUUGGUACUUGUACCAACUGGAUGAGCAGCGAACGGGUGAGUAACGCGUGGGGAAUCUGCCUUUGAGCGGGGGACAACAUUUGGAAACGAAUGCUAAUACCGCAUAAAACCUUUAAACACAAGUUUUAAGUUUGAAAGAUGCAAUUGCAUCACUCAAAGAUGAUCCCGCGUUGUAUUAGCUAGUUGGUGAGGUAAAGGCUCACCAAGGCGAUGAUACAUAGCCGACCUGAGAGGGUGAUCGGCCACAUUGGGACUGAGACACGGCCCAAACUCCUACGGGAGGCAGCAGUAGGGAAUCUUCGGCAAUGGAAGAAAGUCUGACCGAGCAACGCCGCGUGAGUGAAGAAGGUUUUCGGAUCGUAAAACUCUGUUGGUAGAGAAGAACGUUGGUGAGAGUGGAAAGCUCAUCAAGUGACGGUAACUACCCAGAAAGGGACGGCUAACUACGUG
rnacentral:rRNA from 1 species